UGAGCAACCUGCCCUUGACUCUGGAAUAACAGCUGGAAACAGCUGCUAAUACCGGAUACGACCUCCGAUGGCAUCAUCUGGAGGUGGAAAGCUCCGACGGUCAAGGAUGGGCUCGCGGCCUACCAGCUUGUUGGUGAGGUAAUGGCUCACCAAGGCGACGACGGGUAGCCGGCUGAGGAGGGUGACCGGCCACACGUGGGACUGAGACACCGGCCCAGACCUCGUAACGGGGA
rnacentral:rRNA from 1 species